rnacentral:SRP_RNA from 1 species
GCCGGGCAUGGAGGCGCAUGCCUGUAAUCCCAGCACUUUGGGAGGCCGAGAUGGGUGGAUCACCUGAGAUCAGGAGUUCAAGACCAGCCUGGCCAACAUGGUGAAACCCCGUCUCUA